rnacentral:rRNA from 1 species
UACGUAGGGGGCAAGCGUUGUCCGGAUUUAUUGGGCGUAAAGAGCGUGUAGGCGGCCACACAGGUCAGCUGUGAAAACUCGAGGCUCAACCUCGAGACGUCGGUUGAAACCGUAUGGCUAGAGUCCGGAAGGAGGAGAGUGGAAUUCCCGGUGUAGCGGUGAAAUGCGCAGAUAUCAGGAGGAACACCAAUUGCGAAGGCAGCUCGCUGGGACGUCACUGACGCUGAGACGCGAAAGCGUGGGGAGCAAACAGG